rnacentral:rRNA from 1 species
GAGUUGCGAACGGGUGAGUAACGCGUAGGUAACCUGCCUGGUAGCGGGGGAUAACUAUUGGAAACGAUAGCUAAUACCGCAUAAGAACAUUUACUGCAUGGUAGAUGUUUAAAAGGUGCAAGAGCAUCACUACCAGAUGGACCUGCGUUGUAUUAGCUAGUUGGUGAGGUAACGGCUCACCAAGGCAACGAUACAUAGCCGACCUGAGAGGGUGAUCGGCCACACUGGGACUGAGACACGGCCCAGACUCCUACGGGAGGCAGCAGUAGGGAAUCUUCGGCAAUGGGGGAAACCCUGACCGAGCAACGCCGCGUGAGUGAAGAAGGUUUUCGGAUCGUAAAGCUCUGUUGUUAAGGAAGAACGUGUGUGAGAGUGGAAAGUUCACACAGUGACGGUACUUAACCAGAAAGGGACGGCUAACUACGUGCCAGCAGCCGCGGUAAUACGUAGGUCUCGAGCGUUGUCCGGAUUUAUUGGGCGUAAAGCGAGCGCAGGCGGUUAGAUAAGUCUGAAGUGAAAGGCAGUGGCUCAACCGUUGUAGGCUUUGGAAACUGUUUAACUUGAGUGCAGAAGGGGAGAGUGGAAUUCCAUGUGUAGCGGUGAAAUGCGUAGAUAUAUGGAGGAACACCGGUGGCGAAAGCGGCUCUCUGGUCUGUAACUGACGCUGAGGCUCGAAAGCGUGGGGAGCGAACAGGAUUAGAUACCCUGGUAGUCCACGCCGUAAACGAUGAGUGCUAGGUGUUAGGUCCUUUCCGGGACUUAGUGCCGCAGCUAACGCAUUAAGCACUCCGCCUGGGGAGUACGACCGCAAGGUUGAAACUCAAAGGAAUUGACGGGGGCCCGCACAAGCGGUGGAGCAUGUGGUUUAAUUCGAAGCAACGCGAAGAACCUUACCAGGUCUUGACAUCCCUCUGACCACUCUAGAGAUAGAGUUUCCCUUCGGGGCAGAGGUGACAGGUGGUGCAUGGUUGUCGUCAGCUCGUGUCGUGAGAUGUUGGGUUAAGUCCCGCAACGAGCGCAACCCUUAUUGUUAGUUGCCAUCAUUCAGUUGGGCACUCUAGCGAGACUGCCGGUAAUAAACCGGAGGAAGGUGGGGAUGACGUCAAAUCAUCAUGCCCCUUAUGACCUGGGCUACACACGUGCUACAAUGGCUGGUACAACGAGUCGCAAGCCGGUGACGGCAAGCUAAUCUCUGAAAGCCAGUCUCAGUUCGGAUUGUAGGCUGCAACUCGCCUACAUGAAGUCGGAAUC